UUUUUUCCACUUGUUCUAUAUCUGAGACCAUCACAUCUUCACUCUCAAUUCCCAACAAUUAGAUCGUAGAUCUCUUUACCAAGGAUGUCAAUUAAUUCCGCAUAUUUAUUUCUUUGUUAACUAUUUCGGACAGUUGGAGGUCUCCUCUCGUUUGAGCUUAUAAAAGCUCGUUGCUUUGUUCUCAUUACACAAUUUCUAAGCAAUAAAAAGUUCAAGUUGGUCUUCUUCCAACAUUCAAGUCUUUGAGCAUUGUUUUGAGUCAAUAUUUUUGUGUGGUUUCCCCUUAAAUUUCUCUCACGAGUCUUGUAUCCAUAUAAACGUUUUUCCCUUUGAUAAAUUAAGCCGCGUUUAUCGGUUACUUAUCAUCUCAUCUCCACCAAAUCAAUACUUCUGUAACUCAUCAACCUCUAUAGCAUCAUCGUACCACCCCUUGAGGUAUGUAUUAUUAACUUGUUGGGAGCUAGGUAGCAGUGAAUACGGUGGGAGACAUUAUACAUUCCCCGAAGGGAUGACUUACUGGUUUCUCUAUCAAGCCUUAUUGUUUUUAUGGUUUCUGUAUUGAAGAUAGAUCUUUCCAUGAACUCGGA
rnacentral:sRNA from 1 species